GAUGAACGCUAGCUACAGGCUUAACACAUGCCAGUCGAGGGGAAACGACAUCGAAGGCUUGCUUUUGAUGGGCGUCGACCGGCGCACGGGUGAGUAACGCGUAUCUAACCUGCCCAUCACUUGGGAAUAACCUUGCGAAAGUAAGACUAAUACCCAAUGAUAUCCCACGAAGGCAUCGGAAUGGGAUUAAAGAUUUAUCGGUGAUGGAUGGGGAUGCGUCUGAUUAGCUUGUUGGCGGGGUAACGGCCCACCAAGGCAACGAUCAGUAGGGGUUCUGAGAGGAAGGUCCCCCACAUUGGAACUGAGACACGGUCCAAACUCCUACGGGAGGCAGCAGUGAGGAAUAUUGGUCAAUGGGCGAGAGCCUGAACCAGCCAAGUAGCGUGCAGGAAGACGGCCCUAUGGGUUGUAAACUGCUUUUAGAAGGGAAUAAAGUGGGUCACGUGUGACUUUUUGCAUGUACCUUAUGAAUAAGGACCGGCUAAUUCCGUG
rnacentral:rRNA from 1 species